rnacentral:rRNA from 1 species
UACGUAGGGGGCAAGCGUUGUCCGGAUUUAUUGGGCGUAAAGAGCUCGUAGGCGGUUUGUCGCGUCUGGUGUGAAAAUCCAGGGCUUAACCCUGGACCUGCAUCGGGUACGGGCAGACUAGAGUGCGGUAGGGGAGAUCGGAAUUCCUGGUGUAGCGGUGAAAUGCGCAGAUAUCAGGAGGAACACCGGUGGCGAAGGCGGAUCUCUGGGCCGUAACUGACGCUGAGGCGCGAAAGCGUGGGGAGCAAACAGG